GUGAAAAGCACUUCGAACAGAAGAGUGAAAUAGUCCCUGAACCCAUACGCCUACAAGCUGUCGGAGCCGCUUCGUGCGGUGACGGCGUGCCUUUUGCAUAAUGAGCCUACGAGUUACUCAUCACCAGCGAGGUUAAGUACUUCAGGUACGUAAGCCGAAGCGAAAGCGAGUCUGAAUAGGGCGUCAAGUUGGUGGUGGUAGACGCGAAACCUUAGUGAUCUACCCAUGGGCAGGGUGAAGGUUUGGUAACACAAACUGGAGGCCCGAACCGGUAAACGUUGAAAAGUUUUCGGAUGACCUGUGGGUAGGGGUGAAAGGCCAAUCAAACUGGGAAAUAGCUCGUACUCUCCGAAAUGCAUUUAGGUGCAGCCUCUGUUGUUUUGUUCUAGAGGUAGAGCUACUGAUUGGAUGCGAGGGCUUCACCGCCUAUCAAAUCCGGCCAAACUCCGAAUGCUAGAACAUGAAGACAGGGAGUGAGCCAGCGGGUGCUAAGGUCCGUUGACGAAAGAGGGAGAACUCAGACCAUCAGCUAAGGUCCCCAAUUAUAUGCUAAGUUGGAAUAAAAACGGGGUGGGACUGCUUAGACAGCUAGGAUGUUGGCUUGGAAGCAGCCAUUCAUUUAAAGAGUGCGUAACAGCUCACUAGUCGAGCGGUCCUGCAUGGAUAAUACGCGGGCAUAAGCAUAUAACCGAAGCUAUGGGAUUGUAGAUGAUACAAUCGGUAGGAGAGCAUUCCAUUCAGCAUAGAAGCAGUAUCGUGAGGUAUUGUGGAGCGGAUGGAAAAGCAAAUGUAGGCAUAAGUAACGAUAAUGCGGGUGAGAACCCCGCACGCCGAAAGAUCAAGGAUUCCCCGGCAAUGUCAAUCAUCCGGGGGUAAGUCGGAUCCUAAGGGUAAGCCGAGUGGCGAUCCCGAUGGUAAACAGGUUAAUAUUCCUGUACUGAUCAUAACUGCGAUGCAGCGACGCAGAGGUGACACUGCUGCGUACUGACGGAAUAGUACGUUGAAACCCGUAUUCUUUGAUACCGGUAGUGAAGCACGCCGGUAGAGAUGAAAGGUGAUAGUACCGCAAUGCUUCGGUUGCGCGGAUAAUGCAGGUAAGCUGACUGCCAAGAAAACCUGCUAAGCUUCAGGUAAUGAUCAUCCGUACUGUAAACGGACACACGUGAUCAGGUAGAAAAUACUAAGGCGCUCGAGAGAUUCAUGGUUAAGGAACUAGGCAAAAUGGUCCUGUAACUUCGGGAUAAAGGACGCUCUUGUGAAAGAGCCGCAGAUAAUAGGCCCAGGCGACUGUUUACCAAAAACACAUGGCUAUGCUAAUUCGCAAGAAGAUGUAUAUGGCCUGACACCUGCCCGGUGCCGGAAGGUUAAGAGGAGAGCUCAGAGGCAACUCGAAGGUUUGAAUUGAAGCCCCGGUAAACGGCGGCCGUAACUAUAACGGUCCUAAGGUAGCGAAAUUCCUUGUCGGGUAAGUUCCGACCUGCACGAAUGGUGUAACGAUCUGGGUACUGUCUCAACCAUGAGCUCGGUGAAAUUGUAGUUCCGGUGAAGAUGCCGGAUACCCGCAACGGGACGGAAAGACCCCGUGAACCUUUACUGCAGCUUUGCAUUGAUUUUGGGUAACAGAUGUGUAGGAUAGGUCGGAGGCUUUGAUGCUGCGUCGUCAGGCGUAGAGUAGCCGUCGUUGAAAUACGACCCUUUUGUUAUCUGAGGUCUAACCCGUUAGGGAGACAUUGCAUGGUGGGUAGUUUGACUGGGGUGGUCGCCUCCAAAAGUGUAACGGAGGCUUCUCAAGGUACCCUCAAGGCGUUUGGUAAUCGUCUGCAGAGUGCAAUGGCAUAAGGGUGCUUGACUGUGAGACCGACACGUCGAUCAGGUUGGAAACAAGAGCAUAGUGAUCCGGUGGUUCCGCAUGGAAGGGCCAUCG
rnacentral:rRNA from 1 species